rnacentral:rRNA from 1 species
CAAUAGCGUAUAUUUAAGUUGUUGCAGUUAAAAAGCUCGUAGUUGGAUUUCGGAUGGGAUCUGCCGGUCCAUCUUUGAGAUGUGUACUGGUAGGUCCUAUCUUGUUGUCGGGGACCAGCUCCUGGGCUUCACUGUCCGGGACUGGGAGCCGACGAAGUUACUUUGAGUAAAUUAGAGUGUUCAAAGCAAGCCUACGCUCUGAAUAUAUUAGCAUGGAAUAACACGAUAAGACUCUGGCUUAUCUUGUUGGUCUGUGAGACCAGAGUAAUGAUUAAGAGGGACAGUCGGGGACAUUCGUAUUUCAUUGUCAGAGGUGAAAUUCUUGGAUUUAUGAAAGACGAACUUCUGCGAAAGCAUUUGUCAAGGAUGUUUUCAUUAA